rnacentral:rRNA from 1 species
AGGAUGAACGCUGGCGGCGUGCCUAAUACAUGCAAGUCGAACGAAUCUUCUUCGGAAGAUGAGUGGCGAACGGGUGAGUAAUACAUAGGUAACCUGCCCCUGUGCGGGGGAUAACAGGAGGAAACUCCUGCUAAUACCGCAUAGCCAUGAGCACCGCAUGGAGCUCAUGCCAAAUAUCCUUUCGGGGAUAGCGCAGGGAUGGACCUAUGGCGCAUUAGCUUGUUGGCGGGGCAACGGCCCACCAAGGCAACGAUGCGUAGCCGGCCUGAGAGGGCGGACGGCCACAUUGGGACUGAGACACGGCCCAGACUCCUACGGGAGGCAGCAGUAGGGAAUUUUCGGCAAUGGGGGAAACCCUGACCGAGCAACGCCGCGUGAGCGAAGAAGGCCUUCGGGUCGUAAAGCUCUGUUGUAAAGGAAGAACGGCGCAUACAGGAAAUGGUAUGCGAGUGACGGUACUUUACCAGAAAGCCACGGCUAACUACGUGCCAGCAGCCGCGGUAAUACGUAGGUGGCGAGCGUUAUCCGGAAUCAUUGGGCGUAAAGAGGGAGCAGGCGGCCGCAAGGGUCUGUGGUGAAAGACCGAAGCUAAACUUCGGUAAGCCAUGGAAACCGGGCGGCUAGAGUGCGGAAGAGGAUCGUGGAAUUCCAUGUGUAGCGGUGAAAUGCGUAGAUAUAUGGAGGAACACCAGUGGCGAAGGCGACGGUCUGGGCCGCAACUGACGCUCAUUCCCGAAAGCGUGGGGAGCAAAUAGGAUUAGAUACCCUAGUAGUCCACGCCGUAAACGAUGGUCACUAAGUGUCGGGGGUCAAACCCCGGUGCUGCAGUCAACGCAAUAAGUGACCCGCCUGAGUAGUACGUUCGCAAGAAUGAAACUCAAAGGAAUUGACGGGGGCC